rnacentral:rRNA from 1 species
UACAGAGGUCUCAAGCGUUUGUUCGGAUUCAUUGGGCGUAAAGGGUGCGUAGGCGGCGCGGUAAGUCGGGUGUGAAAUCUUGGAGCUUAACUCCGAAACUGCAUUUGAUACUGCCGUGCUUGAGGACUGGAGAGGAGACUGGAAUUUACGGUGUAGCGGUGAAAUGCGUAGAUAUCGUAAGGAAGACCAGUGGCGAAGGCGGGUCUCUGGACAGUUCCUGACGCUGAGGCACGAAGGCCAGGGGAGCAAACGGG